rnacentral:tRNA from 13 species
UCCGGAUUAGCUCAGUCGGUAGAGCAGCGGACUGUUAAUCCGCGUGUCGCUGGUUCGAGUCCAGCAUCCGGAGCCA